rnacentral:tRNA from 1 species
AGGGGUGUAGCUCAGUGAUAGAGCACUUGCCUAACAUGUGCAAGGCCUUGGGUUGGAUCCCCAGCACCACUA